rnacentral:rRNA from 1 species
AGCGAACGCUGGCGGCAGGCUUAACACAUGCAAGUCGAGCGGGCGUAGCAAUACGUCAGCGGCAGACGGGUGAGUAACGCGUGGGAACGUACCUUUUGGUUCGGAACAACACAGGGAAACUUGUGCUAAUACCGGAUAAGCCCUUACGGGGAAAGAUUUAUCGCCGAAAGAUCGGCCCGCGUCUGAUUAGCUAGUUGGUAGGGUAAUGGCCUACCAAGGCGACGAUCAGUAGCUGGUCUGAGAGGAUGAUCAGCCACAUUGGGACUGAGACACGGCCCAAACUCCUACGGGAGGCAGCAGUGGGGAAUAUUGGACAAUGGGGGCAACCCUGAUCCAGCCAUGCCGCGUGAGUGAUGAAGGCCCUAGGGUUGUAAAGCUCUUUUGUGCGGGAAGAU